UCAUAAGGCAUCGUAUCCAAGAAUGGGAACACUACUGCUAUUUGACUCCCAUUCCCAUCAGCUCCUGGCAACAUGGUCAAUGUUCAGGGAUAAUGGAGACUGCAGGUCAGUGGUAUCUGGAGAGCCACAGAUUCCCCACCCUUGCUAAUGUAAUCAACAAAUGCAUUCAAUGUUACCUUGUUGCCACCUGUCUGUCUCGAGAGGCAAUGGAGUGUUCCUCCAGGGGUACUUAUUUUUCCUCAGGGUUUACUCCUGAAGCCUUUCUCAUGAAUGAGUGUAUCCACAAGACAGCAUAGGUUUCGAAUGAGAGUUUUGCUUCUGCUAGUUGGGCUACCUUCCCAGCUUAAUGAGUCCCAUCUGUCCCUCAUUUCCCUCUACAUGCAGUAACUGCCUUCUUGACUGCUGGAUCCACUUGCCUAGGAGCAAGCUGGGCUGCAUUCUGAGCAAACAUGAAUCAGGCUGUGCUGGUAGAUGAUGCCCUAUGAAGUUAUCUCUAUGAAGUAAGUGGUCCUCUGCUAUGACACCGAUGACUGAAAUUUGUUGUCAUGUCACAGACUACACUGUAGUAAAAGGCCACUUGUUCAAUUUACCUGGCACUUUGAAAUAAUUUUAUCACAAGCUCAAAAGCAAUUCUUAUUUCUUAUGCCUUAUAGCUAUUUUCCCCAUUGUUUUUCUCAGAUCAUAUUUCUACCUGUUUUUUCCUCUCAAAGCAAGUUCAGCUGAGUGUCAGAAGUUAAAAAGUAAAGGGUAUUGUCAUUUACCCCACAUUAACUAGUUGUGACAAGUGAAAUAGCUUCAGGGUUGCACAGAGUUGGAACAAGACGGGGGAGAGACAAACUUACUCUUUGGAACAAGGUGGGGAACAAAGGCAGGGAAAACAUUGGCAUUCACAUUCUGCCACCAUAUUAUGAAAAUAAGAAUAAUGAUACAAACAUUUUAUACCAGACAAAUGAAACCAAAUAUUGCUUUUAUGUAAUGUAAUUAUUUACAUGCUAUUACUGUUGGAAAGUUGGUGCUUUAAAUGUGUCUCUAACCUGGAGACAUUUCUUCAAAAUAAACCAGAUAACCAUUUUCAUACAGGAGAAGAGGGGAUUGCACUAAGGAGGUGUCAUUACCAAUGACCCAAGGGCUUUGUAGGAUGCAGGAAAGAACUCUGGUAAGAAUGAGGUUGGGCUGCUUCCUCAGGGGAAGGACUAUCUGUACCUUUUGUAGGCUACACCACUGACUCAAAAUGUGAGUUUGUUGCAGCAUUGCUAUCUCCCCUGCAUUGCAGAAGUCAGAUAUUUACAAAGUAAAUCAAAGAGCAUUUAAACACCUAUCCAGUUCUUCCAGGGAGGCAAAGCCUGCCACACCUGAGAUCUGCCAAAAGGCUUCAGUUGGUUCUGCCUCCCUGCUGAGACAACAUUUUCCUGUAACUGUCCUUGGUUGGGACAACUAGUAGGAUCCUCUGUAGCUGUCCAAUGUCCUUUGCUUAUUUGCUUUCUUCUUUGUCCUGAUUUCUUUCACCAGACACUAGGUGCUCUCUCUGCAAGCCUCAAGCUCUCCACACAACUGGACAGAGCCACCAUUAACUUGCUGGUUGUUAGUGACUCCACAUGUGCAUUCAUUGUGCUAAAUUUAGUGUUCCUUCUUUCUAGUGCAUUACCUAAAAGUUGUGAUGGGCCUAACAAAACCCAGCUUGAGGCUUAGGGUUGAGCCAGUGUGGUGUAGUGGUUAGGAGCGGUAGUCUCGUAAUCUGGGGAACCGGGUUCGCGUCUCCACUCCUCCACAUGCAGCUGCUGGGUGACACACUUCUCUGAAGUCUCUCAGCCCCACUCACCUCACAGAGGGGAGGAAGGGAAAGGAGAAUGUUAGCCGCUUUGAGACUCCUUAAAGGGAGUGAAAGGCGGGAUAUCAAAUCCAAACUCUUCUUCUUCUUCUUCUAGGGUAGUCCCGUGCCAAUUCUCUAUGUAAAUUGCAGUGAAACUAACCCACUAUAGUUUUGAGGAUCACAUACGCAAUUCCUUCAACUGUUCCUUAUCAGGCUGGGUUUCCAGACCCUUGAUCAUCUUGAUCGCCCUCCUCUGCACAUGUUCCAGCUUGUCCAUACCCUUCUUAAGCUGUGGUGCACAGGACUGGACACAGUACUCCAGGUGCGUUCUGACUAAAGCUGUAUACAGUAAAGUGGUAAUUUGUCAAUAGGAAUUCAUAUUAGGUUGGGUUGAAUAAAACGAGCCAUACCAUAUAUGUGCAUGAACCUAGCAUAGGAGUCUGCUUUAAACAACCUUGUGAUUCUGUACAGAAGUGUGAUUACACUUUCUUCUGGAGUGGCAUAAAAAAUAAUAUAGUGUGCAGGUCCAUGUACAUGCAAAUCAAUUGUAACCCAACUUCCUUUUUGUAUAGCUCUUAUUUUGUUUAAUGUGUGUUCGCAAUAAUUUGCAAAAAAAACAAAAAGUUUUUGUGUGGGUAUUAUUUGAUUCCCUUCCAGAUAUUUACUGCACAAAAGAUGUUUGUUUUUCUAUUGAUAUAAAGUGCUCUUUGGAGACCAUUUCCCAGCAUUGUAUAAUAGUGUGACACCCCACCCCACAUGCUCUCAUUUUUAUUUAAAUAUUUUUUAAAAAAACCCUGGAAAGCUUUUUUCAUUCUUUUCCAUUUUGCAAACAUGUUAUUUUGUUGUUUUACCAGCAAUGCUGUUCUUUGACCAAGCCAGGAAAAAUAAUACUAGCAUUCCAAAACUAUGCCCCUUACAGGGUGUGGAACUGGGAUUGGUCUCCCUAAGUAUAAGGAACAUUUAUUAACUGGAUGAAACAAAAGAUUAGGGCAAACAAAUAGCUAUUUCUUCUUUCUACAUUGCAAGCAAUUUUAUGAGAGCACAGAGAGUCAAAGACUGUUUCUUGGGGUUUUUUGUCCCCAUCCAGUUUAACCAGUGAAAGUGAAAGACUUAUUAUACAAAAUGAGGGGAAAGAGAUAUUUGAAACAGUACAAAAUUGGGAUGGUGAACCCUUCUCUGUAUGAGGGCUGGAUUCCCUUCUAGGGGCCACAUGCUCAUGGAAAGUAGAACCUCAGGGAAAAGUGAGUGGAACCGUGAAUGUUUAUUUUUCCUUGGUACAAUAGAUUUGUUUCUACAGACAAGCAGACAUCACUCUCUAUCCUCCCUGCAGCCAAGCAAGAAGUGUUAUCAGAGUCCAAGGACACAUUUAAAUGUUUUUAGGUGCUCAUAAUUCUUUGUAAUUGUUUUUAAAGUGUUUUGGUUUUAAUUGUUUUUACUAUAUGGGGAGGAAGGGGAGGAUAGAAAUAUAAUUGUUGUUCCAGGUAGCAAAAAAACACUCAAGGGGAUGGGAAAGUGGGCCAAAUGAACAUCCAAAAGACCUCUUGUCUUCUGUAAUGCCCUAGUUGCUUUUAGGUUCCCAUCUACUGCUACCAGUGGCUAGUUCAAAUGCCCUUGUUUAUUUUUGCAACUGCCUGGAGGUAUAAUGCUUGUGUGAUUUGCACUGGCUACCAAAGUGCUGGUACUAACCUCUAAGUCCCUAGAAAAGCUCAAGACCAGGUUACUUGAGAGACCACCUUAUCCCUUAUGCACCCAACAGAUUUCUGAGGUCUGUGGAGGUUUCUCCUGCAACUUCAAAAGAUCUCAGAAUCCUGCUCUGUAGUAACUUGGAGCAGGGAUCUUAGUGUGGCUGCAGAGAAGGAGAUAGUCUUUCCACGAAUAUCCACUUGUUAGAGUUUUAGUCUUGUUUUAAGUGUCAUCCCUGAAGGCUUUAUGGUAGAAAUUUCCCUCAGGGGUUCAAGAUGGAGGCUCACACCAAAUUCAUAAUUGGUCAGACUUUAUUCAGUAAUGAACUACAGGACAGAAGAGUCCAUAGGAGCUUUCCAUUAUGACACCCUCUAUACAGGAGAAAGAUGGGGGGAAACAUAUUUGCCAUCCCAUUUCUUCCCCAUCUCGUCAUCCAGCCACGAUCCUUGAAAUGCAACUUGCUCAACUCAUUUUCACUGCAGCUAUCAGAGCCCUCCUUGUUAAGUUGUUUUUCACCCUUAACAGUCAGCAUUAGGUUCCCCAUUAACUGGUUCUUAGCUGUUUUGUGAUCAAGCCGCACUCUUAUGUAAUGACUCUGGCCUCACUGAUGAUUUGGUUUUACAGAAAUUCUGUGUCAGCUUCAAACUGGGUAAAUGUGCUUGCAACCGUGGGCAAAGGUAGAUGGGGAGAAAGAAAGAUGCAGUGCACCCCCCCCCCCCAUCUCUUUCUAUCGUUAGCCAAAUGCAAAUUUUUAUAUAAAACUAUUGGUUGUCGCCUGCACAUAUUGGUUAGUGUCCUGAAGGGGAUUGAACAUUUGUUGGAGAAUCUGAUGUAGGGCUUAAUCGUAAAGGCAAUGUGGGGGGGAGGCAAAGUCUGGUUGAUUAAAUGGGAACUGAAACAGGCCCAUUAUCUGUUUAUAGCUUUCUUUGAAAGGUGAGUCGGUCUCCAAGGCCCCAAUUUUCCAAAGCUAAUAAGCAGCUUUUCUCGACU